AUCCAGAUGACGAGUUUCAAAUAGGACGAAAUGUGCACCGUGGAU
rnacentral:hammerhead_ribozyme from 1 species